rnacentral:tRNA from 1 species
GGUUGUGGUUUAGUUGUAGAACACUUGCCUAGCAUGUGUGAGGCCCUGGGUUCAAUUCUCAGCACCG